AUCUACAGUAUGGCGACAGAUGUGAAGUGUCGCUAUGUUGUAUCGUGAUUGAAGAUACGCUAAUGAUGGCGUCUGAUAAUAGCUCUGUCGUCAAUGAAGUAUUGGUCAUCUUUAACAGUCCGUCUGUCUCCGCUGACAACCACCUUCCACUCUGCAUGUGCCUUCCCUCGCAAGACAACUCUAACCGCUGAAACAAAAGGAAUGUUGCUUCGUUACUUUAUUAUAACGUGUCAGUGUGUACCUCUUGAGCGCAUCGCUCGAUAUUUUCCCAUCCCUUCGCGCACGGAGCAGAAAAUAUGACAGCGCAGUCCAUUCAGAGGGGUUGCAGGUGG